rnacentral:rRNA from 1 species
CUACGGGUGGCUGCAGUGGGGAAUAUUGGACAAUGGGGGGAACCCUGAUCCAGCCAUGCCGCGUGUGUGAAGAAGGCCCUCGGGUUGUAAAGCACUUUCAGUGAGGAAGAACGCCUGGUGGUUAAUACCCAUCAGGAAAGACAUCACUCACAGAAGAAGCACCGGCUAACUCCGUGCCAGCAGCCGCGGUAAUACGGAGGGUGCGAGCGUUAAUCGGAAUUACUGGGCGUAAAGCGCGCGUAGGUGGCUUGAUAAGCCGGUUGUGAAAGCCCCGGGCUCAACCUGGGAACGGCAUCCGGAACUGUCAAGCUAGAGUGCAGGAGAGGAAGGUAGAAUUCCCGGUGUAGCGGUGAAAUGCGUAGAGAUCGGGAGGAAUACCAGUGGCGAAGGCGGCCUUCUGGACUGACACUGACACUGAGGUGCGAAAGCGUGGGUAGCAAACAGGAUUAGAUACCCCGGUAGUC